rnacentral:rRNA from 1 species
GACGAACGCUGACGGCGUGCUUAACACAUGCAAGUCGAAGGGAGUGGCGAACGGGUGAGUAACACGUGAGUAACCUGCCCUUUUCUUUGGGAUACGCCUGGGAACCUGGGUCUACUACUGGUUAGAUUGGGAUGGGCUCGCGGCUUAUCAGCUUGUUGGUUGGGUGAUGGCUUACCAAGGCUUUGACGGUUAGCCGGCCUGAGAGGGUGGUCGGUCACACUGGGACUGAGAGACGGCCCAGACGCCGACGGGGGGCAGCAGUGGGGGAGAUGGGCCAAAGGACGAAAGUCUGAUGCAGCGACGUCGUGUGGGGGAUGAAGGUCUUCGGGUUGUAAACUCCUGUCGCCCGCUGAACGUUAGUGGGUAAAGAAGCGCCGGCUAACUACGUGCCAGCAGCCGCGGUAAUUC